GGGGGGGGUAAGCGUUGUUCGGAAUUACUGGGCGUAAAGGGCUCGUAGGCGGCCAACUAAGUCAGACGUGAAAUCCCUCAGCUUAACUGGGGAACUGCGUCAGAUACUGAAUGGCUUGGAUUUGGGAGAGGGAUGCGGAAUUCCAGGUGUAGCGGUGAAAUGCGUAGAUAUCUGGAGGAACACCGGUGGCGAAGGCGGCAUCCUGGACCAAUAUUGACGCUGAGGAGCGAAAGCUAGGGGAGCAAACGGGAUUAGAUACCCCGGUAGUCCUAGCCCUAAACGAUGAAUGCUUGGUGUAGCGGGUAUCGAUCCCUGCUGUGCCGAAGCUAACGCAUUAAGCAUUCCGCCUGGGGAGUACGGUCGCAAGGCUG
rnacentral:rRNA from 1 species